rnacentral:rRNA from 1 species
GUAGGUGGCAAGCGUUGUCCGGAUUUACUGGGGGGCGUAAAGGGGCGCGCAGGGCGGGCUCGUUAAGUCUAGGGUGAAAGCUCCCGGCUCAACUGGGAGAGGUCUCUAGAAACUGGCGAGCUUGAGGAGGGCAGAGGAGAGUGGAAUUUCCGGUGUAGCGGUGAUAUGCGUAGAUAUCGGAAGGAACACCAGUGGCGAAGGCGGCUCUCUGGGCCCCCCCUGACGCUGAGGCGCGAAAGCGUGGGGAGCGAACCGGAUUAGAUACCCGGGUAGUCCACGCUGUAAACGUUGGGCACUAGGUGUGGGGGGUAUUGACCCCCUCCGUGCCGUAGUUAACGCCAUAAGUGCCCCGCCUGGGGAGUACGGCCGCAAGGCUA